GCUCUACUGACAAAGAAAUAUUAGAAAGGAUUACCUUUUUACAUCAAAAGUACAAAAUUAAAUCCUAUGCACAUAAGCAGGAAGGAGUAUUGGGUUUUCUUUUCCAUUCCAUCUGGUUCAUGGCUUCCUAUUCUGCAGUGCUGGGACUUUGGACCCGAUGAAGAGAUGAUCUAGGCUAGCAUGAGAGCUUCUAGAAAAUUCCGAAAUAGCAAAACCAGAUCCAGCUGGGGAGGACGUGGGGGCCAAGCUCCACUAACUCAAGGUGGCACUUUGAACCUGGAUUGGGAAUCCAAGGUAGUCCCAAGAAUUUAAAUUUUGUUGAUACUAAAACUGUUUCUCCUGAAGACAGAGGUUCUGCAGGCCCACGCCACGCCUGGCCACCUUGGGGCUGCUUUCCGGGUGAGGCUUGCUAGCUCACGGGCAGCUCACUGAAUCACACUCCUGCUGUCUUAUCUUGAAACGUGGAGCUCUCCGGGGCAAGAUUAGGUUGUUCAAAUUAGAAAACUGGGAUUAACCAGAGAGAGGCUAUCUUCCAGAAUUAUUUCCUUUUCUUUUUGCUGGACCAGACUUACUGACUUCUAAAGCUGAAUCUGGGCAGCCGCAAUGAUGCCCAGCUUCCUCCCUAAGCGAGAAGCGCAUACAAUUAAUCAGGAGGGAUGUACCUCUAUCUCAAUGUGCAGCUAGAUAGCUAUUAAAGGCCUCACUCUUAAAUUUUCUUCUGAGUAAACAGUGUGUAAAGCUGUUCAAUCUUUCAUGAGAAUUGGAGCCAGAAACGUGAUGGUUUGCGGGCGGCUCUCAAGGCUGUAUCUGCCUGGAAACAUUUUUGCAAUUGGCCCAGUCCAUUUUCAUCAGGGUCAUCUAUCUGUCUAUAAAAGACUUAGGCUUUUAGUUUUAAAGGAGCAUAUGAUGGAGGCCUUUGUUGAUGGACAAACUCUCCCCACUGAAUUUAACUUUAAGCUAAUGCAGCUUUGAGUACUUUGUUUUAAAAUUUUGGUUUGAGGCUAGAUUUGCUUCUGCUUUAAAAUAUGCCUGAGACCCUUGCUUAUAAACACUCCUUCAACUGACAACUGCUUUUGCAUUCCCGAUCUUAUUUCUAUCUUCUAGGGAAGAAGAAGGAGAUGCUUUUGAAUGAAAGCCCUGAUGUUUAAUGUUCUCCUGUAUAAAGGCUAUGACCCUGGAAUGUCUCCAACCUAAUCUAACAGUUGACCUCAACCAAGUCCUUAAGGCUCCAUCCCUCAUUUGCUAUGUUUUCAAGCUUUUUAGAGAAUUAAUGUUGAAUUUCGUAUAAGAGGUUACAUCUGACGUGAGGCUUGGCCGACCAGAACACCCACCAGCUACCACUGGUUGAUGGCAACCUGCAUGGGCAUGCUCUGAACUCUUUUAGGCCAAUGUCGUGAACCCGGUUGGCCCUCUAUGAAUGUUUGCUGCUCCUAGUUCUGAUGCUUCAGGAUGUGGGAACUUGGGUCACAUGUGGGAAAGGAUCUGGACCGAUGUGUUCCCUAAGGUCAGGAGGCCAGGGGCUCCUGUGACGGAUGUAGAAACUGAUGUCUCAUCGUUCUCUUUUGUGCCCUAGGAAUUUAUCUGGUCAAGGAAGAGACAUCAAGGAAGAGAAAGUCAUUCUGGCUCAUUCUCAAAGUCAGUCUCAAGGUCAUUUCCUAGCCUGGCCUUGAGCACAUCCCAGCUUCUGGUUGGGCCCUAAACCGAAUGACCCCCACAGGGGUGGGUGCUCUAGACAGGGAGGAACCCUGGAAGGCUCAGACCCUGUGAAGUGAUCACAUCAACUCUGAGACUCACAGCUGUCAGCAACCUGGUGUCUGAUAAGCUUUCCUGGACAUCAGAUAACUGUGAAAUAACGUUUUGAUGAAUUAAGUAAAAAACGAAUGACAAACAUGUGGAAUACAUUUUCUUCACUGCACUCAAGAUUUAAAAUUUACAAGGAAAAGUAUUUGGCCACAUUUGCCAAACCUAAGAAGCAUUUGAAAGCAAGCCAGCAAAAGAUGUUUCAUGGAGACCAGCUGGGUUUGCUCAGCUUUGCUCAUAAAGAGGGUCCAUAAAGAAAUCGCUUCAGCCUUUACUGUUCUAUCAGCCCCUACUGGAGACACUUCCUUGGGAAUGGAGGACUAAAAGAAUUUGGUCAGCUCUUGCCUACCGGGUCCAAAGGCCAGGAAGAUGCCCCUCAUGUCCAUGAGUUCAUUGUCAUAGCCAUGCCACCCAUGCUGCCAGCCUUCUCUCCUGCCAGUGCUGUUCAUCCAAAAUGGAAGUGACUCUCGAUUCUGAAACCAAGCAAAGCAGUUACAUUACCCUUUGUCCCAACCAUCAUGAUGAGUGAGCAUCUGGCCCAGACUACCACCCAGUGUGGGGAUUUCCUUCUCAACAUUCUCCACUGGGGUCAUCCAGCCUCAGCUGGAUCACUUCCUUCUCCAGGUAGCUCAGACCACUGGAGGCACGCCGAACUCAAAUUUUCUUGGACACAGACGCUUACUUGUGAGACAACGGCUUAAAGAAGGUUCUGUGGGGCCUGAGGAGGCUGCGGCCAGCGGGACAGAACCCUAGCCCUCCACUGCAGACUAAACAUUCUUUCCUGAUAUUCCAGUCGCCUUCCGUGGAACAGGGUUCGAUACCACAGACAUUGCAAAUGCAGGAAGUAGACCGACUGGUCACAAAGGACGCUUGGACCCAACAGUACCAGCAAUUUAUAGGUUGGUGCGUCAGACUGGUGAUAGUACCCUCUUGGGGGCGCCUACGUGGCUCGGUUGAGCAUCUGACUUCAGUUCAGGUCGUGAUCUUGAGGUUUGUGGGCUUGAGCCCCGCAUCGGGCUCUGUGCGGACAGCUCGGAGCCUGGAGCCUGCUCCGGAUUCUGUGUCUCCCUCUCUCUCUCUGCCCCUCCCCUGCUCCGCACCCUCUCCCAGAAAUAAACAUUAAAAAAAA